GGGUUGUGAGGUUAAGCGACUAAGCGUACACGGUGGAUGCCCUGGCAGUCAGAGGCGAUGAAGGACGUGCUAAUCUGCGAAAAGCGUCGGUAAGGUGAUAUGAACCGUUAUAACCGGCGAUGUCCGAAUGGGGAAACCCAGUGUGAUUCGUCACACUAUCGUUAACUGAAUACAUAGGUUAACGAGGCGAACCGGGGGAACUGAAACAUCUAAGUACCCGAGGAAAAGAAAUCAACCGAGAUUCCCCAGUAGCGGCGAGCGAACGGGGAGCAGCCCAGAGUCUGAAUCAGCUUGUGUGUUAGUGGAACGGUCUGGAAAGUCCGACGGUACAGGGUGAUAGUCCCGUACACCAAAAUGCACAGGCUGUGAACUCGAAGAGUAGGGCGGGACACGUGGUAUCCUGUCUGAAUAUGGGGGGACCAUCCUCCAAGGCUAAAUACUCCUGACUGACCGAUAGUGAACCAGUACCGUGAGGGAAAGGCGAAAAGAACCCCGGCGAGGGGAGUGAAAAAGAACCUGAAACCGUGUACGUACAAGCAGUGGGAGCACCUUCGGGUGUGACUGCGUACCUUUUGUAUAAUGGGUCAGCGACUUAUAUUCUGUAGCAAGGUUAACCGUAUAGGGGAGCCGCAGGGAAACCGAGUCUUAACUGGGCGUUAAGUUGCAGGGUAUAGACCCGAAACCCGGUGAUCUAGCCAUGGGCAGGUUGAAGGUUGGGUAACACUAACUGGAGGACCGAACCGACUAAUGUUGAAAAAUUAGCGGAUGACUUGUGGCUGGGGGUGAAAGGCCAAUCAAACCGGGAGAUAGCUGGUUCUCCCCGAAAGCUAUUUAGGUAGCGCCUCGUGAACUCAUCUUCGGGGGUAGAGCACUGUUUCGGCUAGGGGGUCAUCCCGACUUACCAACCCGAUGCAAACUACGAAUACCGAAGAAUGUUAUCACGGGAGACACACGGCGGGUGCUAACGUCCGUCGUGAAGAGGGAAACAACCCAGACCGCCAGCUAAGGUCCCAAAGUCAUGGUUAAGUGGGAAACGAUGUGGGAAGGCACAGACAGCCAGGAUGUUGGCUUAGAAGCAGCCAUCAUUUAAAGAAAGCGUAAUAGCUCACUGGUCGAGUCGGCCUGCGCGGAAGAUGUAACGGGGCUAAACCAUGCACCGAAGCUGCGGCAGCGACACUAUGUGUUGUUGGGUAGGGGAGCGUUCUGUAAGCCUGCGAAGGUGACCUGUGAGGGUUGCUGGAGGUAUCAGAAGUGCGAAUGCUGACAUAAGUAACGAUAAAGCGGGUGAAAAGCCCGCUCGCCGGAAGACCAAGGGUUCCUGUCCAACGUUAAUCGGGGCAGGGUGAGUCGACCCCUAAGGCGAGGCCGAAAGGCGUAGUCGAUGGGAAACAGGUUAAUAUUCCUGUACUUGGUGUUACUGCGAAGGGGGGACGGAGAAGGCUAUGUUAGCCGGGCGACGGUUGUCCCGGUUUAAGCAUGUAGGCUGGUUAUCCAGGCAAAUCCGGAUAAUCAAGGCUGAGGUGUGAUGACGAGGCACUACGGUGCUGAAGUAACAAAUGCCCUGCUUCCAGGAAAAGCCUCUAAGCAUCAGGUAACAUCAAAUCGUACCCCAAACCGACACAGGUGGUCAGGUAGAGAAUACCAAGGCGCUUGAGAGAACUCGGGUGAAGGAACUAGGCAAAAUGGUGCCGUAACUUCGGGAGAAGGCACGCUGGUGUGUAGGUGAAGCCCCUGCGGGUGGAGCUGAGACCAGUCGAAGAUACCAGCUGGCUGCAACUGUUUAUUAAAAACACAGCACUGUGCAAACACGAAAGUGGACGUAUACGGUGUGACGCCUGCCCGGUGCCGGAAGGUUAAUUGAUGGGGUUAUCCGUAAGGAGAAGCUCUUGAUCGAAGCCCCGGUAAACGGCGGCCGUAACUAUAACGGUCCUAAGGUAGCGAAAUUCCUUGUCGGGUAAGUUCCGACCUGCACGAAUGGCGUAAUGAUGGCCAGGCUGUCUCCACCCGAGACUCAGUGAAAUUGAACUCGCUGUGAAGAUGCAGUGUACCCGCGGCAAGACGGAAAGACCCCGUGAACCUUUACUAUAGCUUGACACUGAACAUUGAGCCUUGAUGUGUAGGAUAGGUGGGAGGCUUUGAAGCGUGGACGCCAGUCUGCGUGGAGCCAACCUUGAAAUACCACCCUUUAAUGUUUGAUGUUCUAACGUUGGCCCCUUACCGGGGUUGCGGACAGUGUCUGGUGGGUAGUUUGACUGGGGCGGUCUCCUCCCAAAGCGUAACGGAGGAGCACGAAGGUUAGCUAAUCCUGGUCGGACAUCAGGAGGUUAGUGCAAUGGCAUAAGCUAGCUUGACUGCGAGCGUGACGGCGCGAGCAGGUGCGAAAGCAGGUCAUAGUGAUCCGGUGGUUCUGAAUGGAAGGGCCAUCGCUCAACGGAUAAAAGGUACUCCGGGGAUAACAGGCUGAUACCGCCCAAGAGUUCAUAUCGACGGCGGUGUUUGGCACCUCGAUGUCGGCUCAUCACAUCCUGGGGCUGAAGUAGGUCCCAAGGGUAUGGCUGUUCGCCAUUUAAAGUGGUACGCGAGCUGGGUUUAGAACGUCGUGAGACAGUUCGGUCCCUAUCUGCCGUGGGCGCUGGAGAAUUGAGGGGGGCUGCUCCUAGUACGAGAGGACCGGAGUGGACGCAUCACUGGUGUUCGGGUUGUCAUGCCAAUGGCACUGCCCGGUAGCUAAAUGCGGAAGAGAUAAGUGCUGAAAGCAUCUAAGCACGAAACUUGCCCCGAGAUGAGUUCUCCCUGAGACUUUAAGUCUCCUGAAGGAACGUUGAAGACGACGACGUUGAUAGGCCGGGUGUGUAAGCGCAGCGAUGCGUUGAGCUAACCGGUACUAAUGAACCGUGAGGCUUAACCUUACAACGCCGAAG
rnacentral:rRNA from 1 species